CUAAGCCAAGGAAGAAAAAGUCACACAAGUUCAGGAAGCACAGCGUCCCUGUCAAGAUUAAACCAAAGAGACCCACACUAAACACAUCGUAAUUAAAAUGGCAAAGGCUCAGGACAAAGAGGGAAUAUUAAAAGCAGCAAG